rnacentral:tRNA from 1 species
GCCCACAUAGCUUAGUCGGUAGAGCAUCAGACUUUUAUGUGCAGUCGAUGAUGGAAUCUGAGGGUUGCGGGUUCAAGUCUCUCUGUGGGCA